GGGGUAUUUAUAAUGGACCAAGAUAGCUUGACCUUUUUUUAUCUGUCAAUCAUCCGUUCUUUCCUUACUUUCUCAUCCGUCUACAAUGAUAUAUAUUUUAGUCUCUCGUAUACCCUUCCCUUUUUUCAUUCUUUCAUCAUUUUCCCUCUGAAAACCUCUCUUGUUGUAUCCCUUUCUUUCUUGUCUUUUCCAUAUCUCCAAUUUCCAAAGUUACAUCUCAUUGCAGGUGCUUUCUUUUGUAUAAAUUAAGAAAAUAUAAGUCGACCUUAACAAAAUGAGAUAUGUGGUAUCUUUAAAAAAAAAGCACACCAACCCAAAGAAAAAAUAGGUCAACACUAUCUGUUCAAUAAUAAACAAGUGUCAUUACACUAUGUCGAAUUC
rnacentral:lncRNA from 1 species